CACGCCGUAAACGAUGAAUGCUAGGUGUUGGGGGUCAAACCUCGGUGCCGAAGUUAACACAUUAAGCAUUCCGCCUGGGGAGUACGGUGGCAACACUGAAACUCAAAGGAAUUGACGGGGGCCCGCACAAGCAGUGGAGUAUGUGGUUUAAUUCGAAGCAACGCGAAGAACCUUACCAGGGCUUGACAUCCUCGGACGACACUAGAGAUAGUGUUUUCUCUUCGGAGACUGAGAGACAGGUGG
rnacentral:rRNA from 1 species